GGCCUGGCCGGGCGGUCCGCUUAACAGCGUGUACUGUCUGGCUGGGUCUUACCUCUUGGUGAGCUGGCGUGCCCUUUACUGGUGUGCGUCGGGGAACCAGGACUUUUACCUUGAGAAAAUUAGAGUGCUCAAAGCAGGCUAGCGCCUGAAUACAUUAGCAUGGAAUAAUAAAAUAGGACGGCAUGGUUCUAUUUUGUUGGUUUCUAGGAUUGACGUA
rnacentral:rRNA from 1 species